CCAAUAGCGUAUAUUAAAGUUGUUGCAGUUAAAAAGCUCGUAGUUGAAUUUCGGGACCAAUUUGUUGGUCGUGCCUCGGUACGUACUGGUAUUAUUGGUUUCUCCCUUCUGAAGAAUCUUGAUGUCAUUAAUUUGGUGUCUUGGGGAAUCAGGACUGUUACUUUGAAAAAAUUAGAGUGUUUAAAGCAGGCAUACGCUUGAAUACAUUAGCAUGGAAUAAUGAAAUAGGACGUUUGAUUCUAUUUUGUUGGUUUCUAGGAUCGACGUAAUGAUUAAUAGGGAUAGUUGGGGGCAUUAGUAUUCAAUUGUCAGAGGUGAAAUUCUUGGAUUUAUUGAAGACUAACUACUGCGAAAGCAUUUGCCAAGGAUGUUUUCAUUAAUCAAGAACGAAAGUUAGGGGAUCGAAGACGAUCAGAUACCGUCGUAGUCUUAACCAUAAACUAUGCCGACUAGGGAUCGGAUGAUGUUAAUUUUUUAAUGACUCAUUCGGCGCCUUACG
rnacentral:rRNA from 1 species